rnacentral:rRNA from 1 species
GGGGAAUUUUGGACAAUGGGCGAAAGCCUGAUCCAGCCAUGCCGCGUGUAUGAAGAAGGCCUUCGGGUUGUAAAGUACUUUUGUUAGGGAAGAAAAGCUUGUUGCUAAUAUCAGCAAGUCAUGACGGUACCUAAAGAAUAAGCACCGGCUAACUACAUGCCAGCAGCCGCGGUAAUACGUAGGGUGCAAGCGUUAAUCGGAAUUACUGGGCGUAAAGCGAGCGCAGGCGGUUAUUUAAGUCAGGUGUGAAAGCCCCGAGCUCAACUUGGGACGUGCAUUUGAAACUGGAUAACUAGAGUGUGUCAGAGGGGGGUAGAAUUCCACGUGUAGCAGUGAAAUGCGUAGAGAUGUGGAGGAAUACCGAUGGCGAAGGCAGCCCCCUGGGAUAACACUGACGCUCAUGCUCGAAAGCGUGGGUAGCAAAC